rnacentral:lncRNA from 1 species
AUGGACAAAUCCUAUGGCCCCGGAUUCAGAAGAAUGAUUAUGUCUAAAUUAAGAAGAUCAAGCGUUCAGAUUAUAAAUGGUCAUGGAAACUGUCUGCCAGGGCCAGGAGAAUUAUUCCACUCAUUAAUUUUGCCACCAAUGAACAUAUUUUACAGCAGUACUGAGUCAUUAAUAUCUGACGUCAUCAUCAGGAGAGUUUUGUUUUUUUUUUCCAGGAAACCAGAGGGUCUGACUCAUUCGACUGGCCCUGCUCCAAGCCAUUAAAGCUGCAACAGUUUGUGAAAAAGCCUGCUUGUCUUUUUGGAAAACUCAGAAUCUUCCUCAUCAUCCAAGUAACUCCAGAAUCUGAAAAACGCUCCAUCUCUUAAAUUGGAGUCUUGCAUGUUUUGGAUUAUUGUUAUUUGUCAUCUUAAUUGUGCAUUGACCAUAUAUAGCCACUUACCCAUAUAAUAUGUAUGUAUGUAUAUAUAUAUAUAUAUAUAAAUAAUAGAACACAUAUACAAUUGAUAUAUAAAUACACACAUGUGUAUAUAUAUAUAUACACACACAUGCAUAGGUUGCCUUGUUGUUGUUCACUCCUUUCAGUGUUGUAUCUGACUCUUCAUGGCUCCGUUUGGAGUUUUCUCAGCAGAGAUGGUGGAAUUUGCAAUUGCCUCCCACCGGCUCAUUUUACAGAUGGGGAAACUAAGGCAAACAGGCUUAAGUGACCUGCCCAGGGUCACAUAAGAUAGUGUCUGAGGCCAGAUUUGAACCCAGGUCUUCCUGAGGGCUAGUGCUCUAUUCACUGCACCAUCUGUCUGCCCUCCUAUUCCCUAUACUCUCCACUUAAGAUCACCAUGACAAAAACUAAGAACCAGACUAUGAGAAGUCAUCUCAUUCAACUUCCUCAUUUUGAUGGAAGAGGAAACUGUGAACCAAUGAGAUUAAGUGAUGUAGUUACCUAGUUGCCCCCCAAUGUUUGGGAGGUAGCACUUAAAUGCUUGUUGAAUUGAACACCAACACCAAAGACAGGAGGACUUGCUGAUCAUAUUGGGUUACUCUAUAUCCACAUCUGAUACUGGUUUCAACAUAUUUAUUUUCCUUCUGAACUUGUGAUUUCAUUGAUAUCGGGAGUUCCCAGUGAGGAAAAUCUGCCAAUGCAGAUCAGUACCUUUGAGGCAUGUGAAAGUUGCCUGAGAACAUUAAGCUUAAAUGCCAUGUCCAGAAUCACCCAACCAAUGUGUGUUGGAGGCUAGACCUCACUCCUGACCUUCUAGCCCCUGAGGCUAGCUUUUUUUUUGUCUACCAUGCUAGACUGCCUCUCUUCCAAAUUUAAUUUUGCAAUAUGAUGGAAAGGCUGUGCAGCUAGGUGGCAUAGUGGAUAGUGUGUCAGGCCUGAAGUCAGGAAGACUCAUCUUUCUGAGUUCAAAUCUAACCUCAGAUACUUAAUCCUGACUGCCUCAGUUCCUUACCUGCAAAAGGAGCUAGGAGAAGGAAAUGGCAAACCAUUCCAGUGUCUCUGCCAAGAAAACCCCAAAUGGGGUCAUGGAGAAUCAGACACUAUUGAAAGGGAUUGAACAACAACAAAAAUGGGGAUGAUAACAGCACCUGCCUCCUAGGGUUGUUGUGAGGAUGAGAUGGGAGAACACCAAGUGUUUUGCAAAGUGCUUUUUGCAAGAGUGUUAUGUAAAUGCUAAACAAUAAGAGAAUAUGAUGAAAGUGAAGAAAAACAUAUUCCAUGUGAUUUCUUAGACUACUCUAGAUGCCAACAGAGUCUAAAGCCAGUAACUCAGAUGAUCAAUUUAGAGUUUAAAGACCCCAGCUUUCCACUUGCUAUAAAAUUUCCUAUGAUGAUGAGCUUUUUUUUUCUUAAAUAUUUCUGUCUAUAAAAUACAUUAAAAUGGAGGGAAAUGAUUAAGAACUUUGGAGAAAUUGUAUGAUUGACAGUCAAAAGCCUUACAGAUUUUUCACUAACCCAGAAGGAUGCUAUUCUAGAUUAAAACAAACAAACAAACAAAAAAUAAUCUUUACCUUUUCUCUGAGAAUCAAUGCUAAUUGUUGAUUCCAAGGCAGAAGAGCUGUAAAGGCUGGGCAAAGAGGUGCCCUUCCAUUUUUUUUUUAAUUUUACCUUCCAUCUUGGAGUCAAUACUAUGUAUUGGUUCCAAGGCAGAAGAGUAGUAAGGGCUAGGCAUUGGGGGUUAAGUGACUUGUCCAGGUCACAAAGCUAGGAAGCGUCUAAUUCCAGAUUUGAACCCAGAAACUCCUGUCUCUGGGCCUGGCUCUCAAUCCACUGAGCCACCCAGCUGCUCCCUAUCCUUCCAUUCUUGAUUAAAACAUGGAAGACAUUCCAAGAUUCAAGUCCAAAUGGUAAGAAAUAUCAGCCAUGAACAAUUGUUUUUUUCAUUUAGCAUUUAUAGACUGAAGGAUGCUCAACAAAUUGUUCUUCCGUUUUUCCUAAAACUAUAUCCCAACAUAUUACAGUAGUACAAGAGUACAUAUGGGCCGCACAUGAUGAUGUAAGGGAAAAUUAAGAACACUGAUUGAUGCGGUUUCCAGAGUCAGACAGGAAUGAAACAAUUGAACAACAAAAUUCUACUGCAUACUACAUGUUGAAGGUCACACAAGAACUUUAGAGCAGGGCCUGGGUGUUCUGCUUGGUUUAUUCUUUUUUGGCUGUUUUCCCAGCACUUAGGUCAGUGCCUAGCACAGAGUAGAUACUUAAAUAACUGUUUGAAUAACAAUUUUUUUAAUCCUUACCUUCUGUCUUAGAACCAAUACUGUGAUAAAGACUUAGCCCAGGGGUGACUUGCCCAGGGUCAUAUAGGUAGGAAGUAUCUGAGGCCAGAUUUGAACCUAGGAUCUCUCAUCUCUAGACAUGCUCUCAAUCCAAUGAGCCACUUAGCUGCCCCCUAAUUCUUCAAAGUCUGGAAAAGAUCUCUUAUAUUUGUUGUCUGUUUUAAAAAAAUAAAAGGCAACAGUAGAGCA